AGCGAACGCUGGCGGCAGGCUUAACACAUGCAAGUCGAGCGGGCAUCUUCGGAUGUCAGCGGCAGACGGGUGAGUAACACGUGGGAACGUACCCUUCGGUUCGGAACAACUCUGGGAAACUGGAGCUAAUACCGGAUACGCCCUUAUGGGGAAAGGUUUACUGCCGAAGGAUCGGCCCGCGUCUGAUUAGCUAGGUGGUGGGGUAACGGCCUACCAAGGCGACGAUCAGUAGCUGGUCUGAGAGGAUGAUCAGCCACACUGGGACUGAGACACGGCCCAGACUCCUACGGGAGGCAGCAGUGGGGAAUAUUGGACAAGGGGCGCAAGCCUGAUCCAGCCAUGCCGCGUGAGUGAUGAAGGCCUUAGGGUUGUAAAGCUCUUUUGUCCGGGACGAUAAUGACGGUACCGGAAGAAUAAGCCCCGGCUAACUUCGUG
rnacentral:rRNA from 1 species